AGAGUUUGAUCCUGGCUCAGGACGAACGCUGGCGGCGUGCCUAACACAUGCAAGUCGAGCGAUGAAACUUCCUUCGGGGAGUGGAUUAGCGGCGGACGGGUGAGUAACACGUGGGUAACCUGCCUCAAAGAGGGGGAUAGCCUCCCGAAAGGGAGAUUAAUACCGCAUAACAUUAUUUUAUGGCAUCAUAGAAUAAUCAAAGGAGCAAUCCGCUUUGAGAUGGACCCGCGGCGCAUUAGCUAGUUGGUGAGGUAAGGGCUCACCAAGGCGACGAUGCGUAGCCGACCUGAGAGGGUGAUCGGCCACAUUGGAACUGAGACACGGUCCAGACUCCUACGGGAGGCAGCAGUGGGGAAUAUUGCGCAAUGGGGGAAACCCUGACGCAGCAACGCCGCGUGAGUGAUGAAGGUUUUCGGAUCGUAAAACUCUGUCUUUAGGGACGAUAAUGACGGUACCUAAGGAGGAAGCCACGGCUAACUACGUGCCAGCAGCCGCGGUAAUACGUAGGUGGCAAGCGUUGUCCGGAUUUACUGGGCGUAAAGAGUAUGUAGGUGGGUGCUUAAGUCAGAUGUGAAAUUCCCGGGCUUAACCUGGGCGCUGCAUUUGAAACUGGGCAUCUAGAGUGCAGGAGAGGAAAGUGGAAUUCCUAGUGUAGCGGUGAAAUGCGUAGAGAUUAGGAAGAACACCAGUGGCGAAGGCGACUUUCUGGACUGUAACUGACACUGAGAUACGAAAGCGUGGGUAGCAAACAGGAUUAGAUACCCUGGUAGUCCACGCCGUAAACGAUGAAUACUG
rnacentral:rRNA from 1 species